AUGUGUGUUGAUUGUAGAGGCAUUAAUAAUAUUACUAUUCGUUAUCGUCAUCCUAUUCCUAGGAAAGAUGAUAUGCUUGAUGAAUUGAGUGGCUCUACAAUAUUCUCCAAAGUUGAUUUGCGUAGUGGAUACCAUCAAAUUCGUAUGAAAUUGGGGGAUGAAUGGAAAACAACAUUUAAAACUAAGUUUGGAUUAUAUGAGUGGUUAGUGAUGCCUUUUGGGUUAACUAAUGCGCCUAGUACUUUCAUGAGACUAAUGAACGAAGUUUUACGUGCUUUCAUUGGACGAUUUGUGGUAGUCUAUUUUGAUGAUAUACUGAUUUAUAGCAGAUCUUUGGAAGAACAUUUGGAACAUUUACGUGUUGUUUUUAUUCCUCUACGUGAUCCACGUUUGUUUGGUAACCUUGGGAAGUGCACCUUUUGCACCGACCGAGUAUCUUUUCUUGGCUAUGUUGUUACUCCACAGGGAAUUGAAGUUGAUAAAGCCAAGAUUGAAGCUAUUGAGAGUUGGCCGCAACCCAAAACGGUCACACAAGUGAGGAGUUUUCUUGGCCUCGCUGGAUUCUAUAGGCGUUUUGUGAGAGAUUUCAGCACCAUUGCUGCACCUCUCAAUGAGCUUUCAAAGAAAGAUGUGCCUUUUCUUUGGGGUACCGCACAGGAAGAAGCCUUCACGGUACUGAAAGAUAAGUUGACACAUGCUCCUUUACUCCAACUUCCUGAUUUUAAUAAGACUUUUGAGCUUGAAUGUGAUGCUAGUGGAAUUGGAUUAGGAUGUGUGUUAUUACAAGAUGGCAAACCUGUUGCAUACUUUUCUGAAAAAUUGAGUGGGCCUAGUCUGAAUUAUUCUACUUAUGAUAAAGAAUUAUAUGCUCUUGUUCGGACUUUAGAAACAUGGCAACAUUAUUUAUGGCCCAAAGAAUUUGUUAUACAUUCUGAUCAUGAAUCUUUGAAACAUAUUAAAAGUCAAGCUAAACUGAAUCAUAGACAUGCUAAAUGGGUUGAAUUCAUUGAGACUUUCCCUUAUGUCAUUAAACACAAGAAGGGAAAAGAAAAUGUUAUUGCUGAUGCAUUGUCUCGUCGCUAUACUAUGCUUUCACAACUUGACUUCAAAAUAUUUGGUUUGGAGACCAUCAAAGAUGUGCAUGAUGCUGAUUUUAAAGAUGUAAUGCAGAAUUGUAAAGAAGGAAGAAUGUGGAACAAGUUUGUCAUUAACGAUGGAUUUGUGUUUCGUGCUAACAAGCUAUGCAUUCCAGCUAGCUCCGUUCGUCUUUUGUUGUUGCAGGAGGCGCAUGGAGGAGGAUUAAUGGGACACUUUGGCGUGAAGAAGAUGGAGGACGUACUUGCUACACAUUUCUUUUGGCCAAAGAUGAGACGGGAUGUUGAGCGUUUUAUUGCUCGCUGCACUACAUGUCAAAAAGCUAAGUCACGACUCAAUCCUCAUGGUUUAUAUAUGCCUUUGCCUGUACCUAGUGUUCCUUGGGAGGAUAUAUCUAUGGACUUUGUUUUAGGUUUACCUCGAACAAAGAAGGGGAGGGAUAGCAUAUUUGUUGUCGUGGAUAGAUUCUCGACAAUGGCACACUUUAUACCAUGUCAUAAAAGCGAUGAUGCUGUUAAUGUUGCUGAUUUGUUGUUUCGUGAAAUUAUUCGCUUGCAUGGUGUGCCAAAUACUAUUGUUUCACAUCGUGAUACUAAAUUUCUUAGCCACUUUUGGAGAUGUUUAUGGGCUAAGUUGGGGACUAAACUGCUUUUUAGUACUACUUGUCACCCCCAAACUGAUGGACAAACUGAAGUAGUCAAUAGAACGUUGCCUACCAUGCUUAGGGCUGUUUUGAAGAAUAAUAAGAAAAUGUGGGAGGAAUGCUUGCCUCAUAUUGAAUUUGCUUAUAAUCGUUCAUUGCAUUCUACUACUAAGAUGUGCCCUUUUGAAGUUGUGUAUGGUUUCCUACCUCGUGCACCUAUUGAUUUGUUUCCUCUUCCAUCUUCGGAGAAGGUUAAUUUUGAUGCUAAACAACGUGCAGAAUUGAUUUUAAAAAUGCAUGAGUUAACUAAGGAAAACAUUGAGCGUAUGAAUGCUAAAUAUAAACUUGCUGGAGAUAAGGGUAGAAAACAUGUUGUGUUUGCACCUGGAGAUCUUGUUUGGUUACAUUUGCAUAAGGAUAGAUUUCCUGAUUUGUGCAAAUCAAAGCUAAUGCCACGUGCUGAUGGUCCCUUUAAGGUGUUAGAGAAAAUAAAUGAUAAUGCAUAUAAACUUGAGCUGCCUGCAGAUUUUGGGGUUAGUCCCACUUUUAACAUUGCAGAUUUGAAGCCUUAUUUGGGUGAGGGAGAUGAACUUCCGUCGAGGACGACUUCAUUUCAAGAAGGGGAGGAUGAUGAGGACAUCAAUACCAUUGUUACACCCACAACCCCUGCUGCUAUACAUAUUGGACCAAUUACUAGAGCUCGCGCACGCCAGCUAAAUUACCAGGUACUUUCAUUUCUUGGUAAUGAUUCUAAUGUUCAUGAGAAUAUGAUGCUGCCUAAAUUGGAUACAUUUGUUUUGCUUACAAAUGAAGGGCCUAGCUUGGAGAAGGAUGAACAUUGGAGAAAGAAAACGCAUGGAGAUGAUGGCAUGCACAAGGGGAACAAGAACGGAGUUACGAGUGAUGAUUUCAUGUCUUUGAAGCCACCAUAA
rnacentral:rRNA from 1 species